AUUGAACGCUGGCGGCAGGCUUAACACAUGCAAGUCGAGCGGAGCGAGGGUGCUUACACCUUAGCUUAGCGGCGGACGGGUGAGUAAUGCUUCGGAAUCUGCCUAUUAGUGGGGGACAACAUUCCGAAAGGAAUGCUAAUACCGCAUACGCCCUACGGGGGAAAGCAGGGGAUCUUCGGACCUUGCGCUAAUAGAUGAGCCUAAGUCGGGUUAGCUGGUUGGUGGGGUUAAGGCCUACCAAGGCGACGAUCUGUAGCGGGGCGGAGAGGAUGAUCCGCCACACUGGGAGUGAGACACGGCCCAGACUCCUACGGGAGGCAGAAGUGGGGAAUAGUGGACAAUGGGCGGAAGCCUGAGCCAGCCAUGCCGCGUGUGUGAAGAAGGCCUUUUGGUUGUAAAGCACUUUAAGCGAGGAGGAGGCUCUUAAGGUUAAUACCCUUGAUGAGUGGACGUUACUCGCAGAAUAAGCACCGGCUAACUCUGUGCCAGCAGCCGCCGUAAAAC
rnacentral:rRNA from 1 species